CAAAGCAGGAGCUAGCAGAUGGCUGCAUCGUUAGCUGGUGGCCACAGCCUGACGAGAUGAGUUUUGGAAUUUCCAUCAAAGUCAGGAUUAGGCUCAGGAUGUGCCGGUGGCACAGAGCACCCCAGGGGAGUGUGGAAGAAGAGGAAAUCAUUCAUAGCGACUCAUCUUGUGGUUGGUGGGCAAGUUUUCAGCUGGUGAUUUAUCAGCAAAGUAUUUUACAGGAUCAUAGUUAAAAGCUCUUCUUAAAACAAAGCAAAAAAAAAAAAUACAUCCUGUGCGAUAGGAAAAGUAAAAGCAUCUCAGUUUCCAAAUGAUGAAGGAAUAACCGAAAGAGCUAGUUCUUGGAAUAGUAGCUCCACUGGCACUCAUUGGUGAUUUCCUGUGCAUUUGCUGCAAGAAUCACUCUGUGAUGUGAGUAGGUGGUACUAAAGGGUUAUUACGAAACCAAUUUUCAACCAGACGUUUUGAGUCAUGGAUCGGGAAGAGGGAUAGCAGCUUCAGAGCUUUCUCUUUGUUCGAGCAGUGCGCCUGAAAUGCACACGCAGGAUAUUCUGUGCUUGCAUGGAACGAGGCAGGCUGGGGAUAGGUCUGGUAUUACGUGAAGUGCCCUUCUCCGUGCCGCUCCGUCUCGGGGAUGGGAAGCGAGGACGUGGGCUGAGGGCUUGGCAGCAGCCUGCAAGGUGCACAAGGAGCAGUUUCCUGACUGUCUUUCAAUUGUAAGUAUUUUCUCCUGGUUUUUCCCAGACGUGAGAGACAAAAUGGAGUUGCGUCAGGAUGGAUGUCUGCGCCAAAAGGAGGUGGUGGUUUGGAGCUGCUUGGUUCUGUUCUGGAAGCAGAUGGGCUGCCACUGGCAGGAGACAGUUGGCUUUUCCAUCAGAAAAAAAAAAAAAAAAAAGAGGGGUGUUUAAGGGAAUUGGUCUGGCUCC